rnacentral:rRNA from 1 species
UGGGGAAUAUUGGACAAUGGGCGCAAGCCUGAUCCAGCCAUGCCGCGUGAGUGAUGAAGGCCCUAGGGUUGUAAAGCUCUUUCAACGGUGAAGAUAAUGACGGUAGCAGGUAAAGAAACCCCGGCUAACUCCGUGCCAGCAGCCGCGGUAAUACGGAGGGGGUUAGCGUUGUUCGGAAUUACUGGGCGUAAAGCGCACGUAGGCGGACCAGAAAGUUGGGGGUGAAAUCCCGGGGGCUCAACCCCGGAACUGCCUCCAAAACUAUUGGUCUAGAGUUCGAGAGAGGUGAGUGGAAUUCCAAGUGUAGAGGUGAAAUUCGUAGAUAUUUGGAGGAACACCAGUGGCGAAGGCGGCUCACUGGCUCGAUACUGACGCUGAGGUGCGAAAGUGUGGGGAGCAAACAGGAUUAGAUACCCUGGGUAGUCCACACCGUAAACGAUGAAUGCCAGUCGUCGGGUAGCAUGCUAUUCGGUGACACACCUAACGGAUUAAGCAUUCC